rnacentral:rRNA from 1 species
AUGGGAAGUUCAGAGUUUGAGCAAGCGAAGGCACACUUGCACGUCGACUGUGCUCAGCCACCAGCAAUAACUUGGCAGAGGAAAUUCGAUGAUGAAGGCAAGAAGGUUGCUAUGCUUAGCAUGACCACUGAUAUCUUCACAGUUAUACCAUUGAUUUUUAAAAUGCUUCGAUUACACGUCGAAGGAAUCGCGAAAAACCAAGUUGCCGUCUAUGAUCCGCUCAGGAAAUGGAUGGACAACUGCUACCGCGGGGUACCCCUUGGCGGACUAGGUUCAGGAAGCAUAGGGAGAAGCUACCGAGGGUACUUUCAGCAGUUUCAAAUAUUCCCCAGGAUCUAUGAAGAGAAGCCUGUCCUUGCCAACCAGUUCUCAGCAUUCGUUUCGCAUCCUGGGGGGAAGAGCUACUCGACGGUGUUGAAACUGGUAUGCUGCUAUUUUUGUCAGGCUCGCCUUUUCGAUGCGCAAAAUGAUGAGGGAUAA